CACAAUGUUGACUGAUGUAUCCCUAUUUCUGAUAUUUUUAUACGACCGCAAAAAAAUUUUGCUGUCGUAUAUUGGUAUAACGUUGGUGUCGUCGUCGUCGUCUUCGUCGUCGUCGUCCGAAGACACAUUGGUUUUCGCACUCUAACUUUAGUUUAAGAUAAUGGAUCUCUAUGAAAUUUUACCAUAAGGUUCAAUACCACAAAAGGAAGUUUGGGAUUGAUUUUGGGGGUUAUGGUACCAACAGUUAAGGAAUCAGGGGCCCAAAAGGGGCCAAAAAUAAGCAUUUUUGUAACUUUCAGACAUAACUUGUGUUCAAGUGUAUGGAUCUCUCUGAAAUUGUACUGCAAGGUACCAUACCACAAAGGGAAGGCUGGGAUUGAUUUUGGGGGUAAUUGUCUCAAAAUUUUAGGAAUUAGGGGCCAAAAAGGGGCAAAAAACAAGCAUUUUUAUAGUUUCAGGACAAUAACUUGUGUGUUAGUGUAUGGAACUUUAUGAAAUUGUACUACAAGGUUCCAUAUCAAAAAGGGAAAGCUUGGUUUGAGUUUGGGGGGUAAUUGCCCUAAAUGUUUACGAAUUUGGUGCAAAAAAGGGGCCUAAAAACAAGCAUUUUUCUAGUUUCCAGACAAUAACUUGUGUUCAAGUGUAUGGAUCUCUCUGAAAUUGUACUGCAAGGUACCAUACCACAAAGGGAAGGCUGAGAUUGAGUUUGGGGUUGAUGAAUCAUAAGGAGGUUCAAAAAAUUUGGGGGAGGGAUUUUUUUUUUCCUUUUUUAGCUCACCUGGCCCGAAGGGCCAAGUGAGCUUUUCUCAUCACUUGGCGUCCGUCGUCCGGCGUCGUCCGUCGUCGGCGUUAACUUUAUACAUUUUGAACUUCUUCUAGAGAACCACUGAAUGGAAUGAAACCAAACAUGGCAUGAAUGUUCCUUAUGAGGUGCUGACCAAGUGUUGUUACUUUGUAGCCGAUCCAUCAUCCAAGAUGGCCGCCAGCGGGGGACUUAGUUUAACAUAGGACCCUAUGGGAAAUGCAUACAAAUGACUUCUUUUAGAGAACCACUGAAUGGAAUGUAACAAAACAUAGCAUGAAUGUUCCUUACAAGGUGCUGACCAAGUGUUGUUACUUUGUAGCUGUUCCAUCAUCCAAAAUGGCCACCAGUGAGGGACUUAGUUUAACAUAGGACCCUAUGGGAAAUGCAUACAAAUGACUUCUUUUAGAGAACCACUGAAUGGAAUGAAACAAAACAUAGCAUGAAUGUUCAUUAGGAGGUGCUGACCAAGUGUUGUUACUUUGUAGCUGAUCCAUCAUCCAAGAUGGCCGCCAGCGGAGGACUUAGUUUAACAUAGGACCCUAUGGGAAAUGCAUACAAAUGACUUCUUUUAGAGAACCACUGAAUGGAAUGAAACAAAACAUAGCAUGAAUGUUCCUUACAAGGUGCUGACCAAGUGUUGUUACUUUGUAGCUGUUCCAUCAUCCAAAAUGGCCGCCAGUGAGGGACUUAGUUUAACAUAGGACCCUAUGGGAAAUGCAUACAAAUGACUUCUUUUAGAGAACCACUGAAUGGAAUGAAACAAAACAUAGCAUGAAUGUUCAUUAGGAGGUGCUGACCAAGUGUUGUUACUUUGUAGCCGAUCCAUCAUCCAAGAUGGCCGCCAGCAGGGGACUUAGUUUAACAUAGGACCCUAUGGGAAAUGCAUACAAAUGACUUCUUUUAGAGAACCACUGAAUGGAAUGUAACAAAACAUAGCAUGAAUGUUCCUUACAAGGUGCUGACCAAGUGUUGUUACUUUGUAGCUGUUCCAUCAUCCAAAAUGGCCGCCAGUGAGGGACUUAGUUUAACAUAGGACCCUAUGGGAAAUACAUACAAAUGUCUUCUUUUAUAGAACCACUGAACGGAAUGAAACCAAACAUGGUAUGAAUGUUCCUUAUGAGGUGCUGACCGAGUGUUGUUACUUUGAAGCCGAUCCAUAAUCCAAGAUGGCCGCCAGCGGGGGACUUAGUUUAACAUAGGACCCUAUGGGAAAUACAUACAAAUGUCUUCUAUUAGAGAACCACUGAAUGGAAUAAAACCAAACAUGGUAUGAAUGUUCCUUAUGAGGUGCUGACUGAGUGUUGUUACUUUGAAGCCGAUCAAUAAUCCAAGAUGGCCGCCAGCGGGGGUCUUAGUUUAACAUAGGACCCUAUGGGAAAUACAUACAAAUGUCUUCUUUUAGAGAACCACUGAAUGGAAUGAAACCAAACAUUGCAUGAAUGUUUCUUAUGAGGUGCUGACCGAGUGUUGUUACUUUGAAGUCGAUCCAUAAUCCAAGAUGGAUGCCAGCGGGGGACUUAGUUUAACAUGGGACCCUAUGGGAAAUACAUACAAAUGUCUUCUUUUAGAGAACCACUGAAUGCAAUGAAACCAAACAUGGCAUGAAUGUUCCUUAUGAGGUCUUGACUAAGUGUUGUUACUUUGAAGCCGAUCCAUCAUCCAAGAUGGCCGCCAGAGAGGGACUUAGUUUAACAUAGGACCCUAUGGGAAAUACAUACAAAUGUCUUCUUUUAGAGAACCACUGAAUGCAAUGAAACCAAACAUGGCAUGAAUGUUCCUUAUGAGGUGCUGACCAAGUGUUGUUACUUUGAAGCUGAUCCAUCAUCCAAGAUGGCAGCCAGCGGGGGACUUAGUUUAACAUAGGACCCUAUGAGAAAUACGUACAAAUGUUUUCUUUUAGAGAACCAUUGAAUGGAAUGAAACCAAACAUGGCAUGCAUGCUCCUUUUGAGGUGCUGACCAAGUGUUGUUACUUUGAAGCUGAUCCUUCAUCCAUGAUGGCUGCCAGAUGGGGACAAUGUUUAACAAAGGACCCUAUGGAUGAUACAUACAAAUGUCUUCUUUUAGAGAACCACAUACUGAAUGGAUUGAAACCAAACAUGGCAUGAAUGUUCCUUAUGAGGUGCUGACUAAGUUUUGUUACUUUGAAGCUGAUCCUUCAUCCAUGAUGGCCGCCAAUAGGGGGACUUCCUUUAACAUAAGACCCUAUGGGAAAUACAUGCAAAUGCUUCUUCUAGAGGUGCACUGAAUGGAAUGAAACCAAAACAUGGCAUAAAUGUUUCUUAUGAGGUGCUGAUUAAGUGUUGCUACUUUGUUGCCGAUUUACUGUUCAAGAUGGCCACCAGGAUUUUUUAUUAAAUUACAGGACCAAUAUUAAACCAAAUUUGGCCUCACUCAUUAUUAGGGUAUCUGUUAUGAUUUUAAUCUAUUUUUACAUGAUUUCCAAAACCAAAGUAGAAUCAGGUGAGUGACACAGGCUCUUGAGAGCCUCUAGUU